CGGACGGGGGCCCGCACAAGCGGUGGAGCAUGUUGGUUUAAUUCGAUGCAACGCGAAGAACCUUACCGUGGGCUUGACAUCCCGAGAAUCCCCUGGAAACGAGGGGAGUGCCUUUCGGGGAACUCGGAGACAGGUGCUGCAUGGCUGUCGUCAGCUCGUGUCGUGAGAUGUUGGGUUAAGUCCCGCAACGAGCGCAACCCUUGUCUUUAAUUGCCAGCAUUCAGUUGGGCACUUUAAAGAGACUGCCGGUGUUAAGCCGGAGGAAGGUGGGGAUGACGUCAAGUCCUCAUGGCCCUUAUGGGUAGGGCUUCACACGUCAUACAAUGGUCGGUACAGAGGGUUGCCAAGCCGCGAGGUGGAGCCAAUCCCAGAAAGCCGAUCGUAGUCCGGAUUGUUCUCUGCAACUCGAGAGCAUGAAGUCGGAAUCGCUAGUAAUCGCGGAUCAGCAUGUCGCGGUGAAUACGUUCCCGGGUCUU
rnacentral:rRNA from 1 species